rnacentral:rRNA from 2 species
GGGUUGUGAGGUUAAGCGACUAAGCGUACACGGUGGAUGCCCUGGCAGUCAGAGGCGAUGAAGGGCGUGCUAAUCUGCGAUAAGCGCCGGUAAGGUGAUAUGAACCGUUAUAACCGGCGAUACCCGAAUGGGGAAACCCAGUGUGAUUCGUCACACUAUCAUUAACUGAAUCCAUAGGUUAAUGAGGCGAACCGGGGGAACUGAAACAUCUAAGUACCCCGAGGAAAAGAAAUCAACCGAGAUUCCCCCAGUAGCGGCGAGCGAACGGGGAGGAGCCCAGAGCCUGAAUCAGCAUGUGUGUUAGUGGAAGCGUCUGGAAAGGCGCGCGAUACAGGGUGACAGCCCCGUACACAAAAGCGCAUGUGCUGUGAGCUCGAUGAGUAGGGCGGGACACGUGGUAUCCUGUCUGAAUAUGGGGGGACCAUCCUCCAAGGCUAAAUACUCCUGACUGACCGAUAGUGAACCAGUACCGUGAGGGAAAGGCGAAAAGAACCCCGGCGAGGGGAGUGAAAAAGAACCUGAAACCGUGUACGUACAAGCAGUGGGAGCACCCUUUGGGGUGUGACUGCGUACCUUUUGUAUAAUGGGUCAGCGACUUAUAUUCUGUAGCAAGGUUAACCGAAUAGGGGAGCCGGAGGGAAACCGAGUCUUAAUUGGGCGUUAAGUUGCAGGGUAUAGACCCGAAACCCGGUGAUCUAGCCAUGGGCAGGUUGAAGGUUGGGUAACACUAACUGGAGGACCGAACCGACUAAUGUUGAAAAAUUAGCGGAUGACCUGUGGCUGGGGGUGAAAGGCCAAUCAAACCGGGAGAUAGCUGGUUCUCCCCGAAAGCUAUUUAGGUAGCGCCUCGUGAAUUCAUCUCCGGGGGUAGAGCACUGUUUCGGCUAGGGGGCCAUCCCGGCUUACCAACCCGAUGCAAACUGCGAAUACCGGAGAAUGUUAUCACGGGAGACACACGGCGGGUGCUAACGUCCGUCGUGAAGAGGGAAACAACCCAGACCGCCAGCUAAGGUCCCAAAGUCAUGGUUAAGUGGGAAACGAUGUGGGAAGGCCCAGACAGCCAGGAUGUUGGCUUAGAAGCAGCCAUCAUUUAAAGAAAGCGUAAUAGCUCACUGGUCGAGUCGGCCUGCGCGGAAGAUGUAACGGGGCUAAACCAUGCACCGAAGCUGCGGCAGCGACGCUGAUGCGUUGUUGGGUAGGGGAGCGUUCUGUAAGCCUGCGAAGGUGUGUCGUGAGGCAUGCUGGAGGUAUCAGAAGUGCGAAUGCUGACAUAAGUAACGAUAAAGCGGGUGAAAAGCCCGCUCGCCGGAAGACCAAGGGUUCCUGUCCAACGUUAAUCGGGGCAGGGUGAGUCGACCCCUAAGGCGAGGCCGAAAGGCGUAGUCGAUGGGAAACGGGUUAAUAUUCCCGUACUUGGUGUUACUGCGAAGGGGGGACGGAGAAGGCUAUGUUGGCCGGGCGACGGUUGUCCCGGUUUAAGCGUGUAGGUGUGUGUUCCAGGUAAAUCCGGUUCACUUUAACACUGAGGCGUGAUGACGAGGCACUACGGUGCUGAAGCAACAAAUGCCCUGCUUCCAGGAAAAGCCUCUAAGCAUCAGGUAACAUCAAAUCGUACCCCAAACCGACACAGGUGGUCAGGUAGAGAAUACCAAGGCGCUUGAGAGAACUCGGGUGAAGGAACUAGGCAAAAUGGUGCCGUAACUUCGGGAGAAGGCACGCUGACACGUAGGUGAAGUGAUUUACUCAUGGAGCUGAAGUCAGUCGAAGAUACCAGCUGGCUGCAACUGUUUAUUAAAAACACAGCACUGUGCAAACACGAAAGUGGACGUAUACGGUGUGACGCCUGCCCGGUGCCGGAAGGUUAAUUGAUGGGGUCAGCGCAAGCGAAGCUCCUGAUCGAAGCCCCGGUAAACGGCGGCCGUAACUAUAACGGUCCUAAGGUAGCGAAAUUCCUUGUCGGGUAAGUUCCGACCUGCACGAAUGGCGUAAUGAUGGCCAGGCUGUCUCCACCCGAGACUCAGUGAAAUUGAACUCGCUGUGAAGAUGCAGUGUACCCGCGGCAAGACGGAAAGACCCCGUGAACCUUUACUAUAGCUUGACACUGAACAUUGAGCCUUGAUGUGUAGGAUAGGUGGGAGGCUUUGAAGUGUGGACGCCAGUCUGCAUGGAGCCGGCCUUGAAAUACCACCCUUUAAUGUUUGAUGUUCUAACGUGGACCCGUGAUCCGGGUUGCGGACAGUGUCUGGUGGGUAGUUUGACUGGGGCGGUCUCCUCCUAAAGAGUAACGGAGGAGCACGAAGGUUGGCUAAUCCUGGUCGGACAUCAGGAGGUUAGUGCAAUGGCAUAAGCCAGCUUGACUGCGAGCGUGACGGCGCGAGCAGGUGCGAAAGCAGGUCAUAGUGAUCCGGUGGUUCUGAAUGGAAGGGCCAUCGCUCAACGGAUAAAAGGUACUCCGGGGAUAACAGGCUGAUACCGCCCAAGAGUUCAUAUCGACGGCGGUGUUUGGCACCUCGAUGUCGGCUCAUCACAUCCUGGGGCUGAAGUAGGUCCCAAGGGUAUGGCUGUUCGCCAUUUAAAGUGGUACGCGAGCUGGGUUUAGAACGUCGUGAGACAGUUCGGUCCCUAUCUGCCGUGGGCGCUGGAGAACUGAGGGGGGCUGCUCCUAGUACGAGAGGACCGGAGUGGACGCAUCACUGGUGUUCGGGUUGUCAUGCCAAUGGCACUGCCCGGUAGCUAAAUGCGGAAGAGAUAAGUGCUGAAAGCAUCUAAGCACGAAACUUGCCCCGAGAUGAGUUCUCCCUGAGACUUAGAGUCUCCUGAAGGAACGUUGAAGACGACGACGUUGAUAGGCCGGGUGUGUAAGCGCAGCGAUGCGUUGAGCUAACCGGUACUAAUGAACCGUGAGGCUUAACCUUACAACGCCGAAG